UUUUUUAAAUUGCUGUGGUAUUUUGACUAUACGAAGGUAUUGAAAUAAGAUUUUAAAUGGGUGCUAAGAGAAUGGAUGAAUGAGAAUUAACUUUUUUUAUAAAAUUAUUAAAAUUUAAAUUAAAAAUUAAAAUGUUUUUAUAGAAUUAUGGGACAAGAAGACCCUAGAACCUUAAUUUUAGAAAUAAAAUUUAAUUGGGGCAAUUUAAAAAUAAUAAGUAAUUUUUUAAAGAAAGUUGUAAAAAAAUAUUUGGAAGGUACUUUAGGGAUAACAGCGUUAUUAUUUUGGAGAGUUCAUAUUGAUAAAAUAGUUUGCGACCUCGAUGUUGAAUUAAUGAGUCUUUUUGGUGUAGGAGUUAAAAAAGAGAGAUUGUUCAUCUUUUAAAUCAUUACUUGAUCUGAGUUCAGACCGGA
rnacentral:rRNA from 1 species